rnacentral:misc_RNA from 1 species
GAUGAAGAACGUAGCGAACUGCGAUAAGUAAUGUGAAUUGCAGAAUUCAGUGAAUCAUCGAGUCUUUGAACGCACAUUGCGCCCCCUGGCAUUCCGGGGGGCAUGCCUGUCCGAGCGUCAUUGCUGCCCUUCAAGCCCGGCUUGUGUGUUGGGUCGUCGUCCCCCCCGGGGGACGGGCCCGAAAGGCAGCGGCGGCACCGCGUCCGGUCCUCGAGCGUAUGGGGCUUUGUCACCCGCCCGAUUAGGGCCGGCCGGGCGCCAGCCGGCGUCUCCAACCUUCUAUUUUACCAGGUUGACCUCGGAUCAGGUAGGGAUACCCGCUGAACUUAAGCAUAUCAAUAAGCGGAGGA